rnacentral:rRNA from 1 species
AGUGAACGCUGGCGGUAGGCCUAACACAUGCAAGUCGAACGGCAGCACAGUAAGAGCUUGCUCUUACGGGUGGCGAGUGGCGGACGGGUGAGGAAUACAUCGGAAUCUACUUUUUCGUGGGGGAUAACGUAGGGAAACUUACGCUAAUACCGCAUACGACCUACGGGUGAAAGCAGGGGAUCUUCGGACCUUGCGCGAUUGAAUGAGCCGAUGUCGGAUUAGCUAGUUGGCGGGGUAAAGGCCCACCAAGGCGACGAUCCGUAGCUGGUCUGAGAGGAUGAUCAGCCACACUGGAACUGAGACACGGUACAGACUCCUACGGGAGGCAGCAGUGGGGAAUAUUGGACAAUGGGCGCAAGCCUGAUCCAGCCAUACCGCGUGGGUGAAGAAGGCCUUCGGGUUGUAAAGCCCUUUUGUUGGGAAAGAAAAGCAGCAGGUUAAUACCCCGCUGUUCUGACGGUACCCAAAGAAUAAGCACCGGCUAACUUCGUGC